rnacentral:rRNA from 1 species
UUAGUUCGUGGAGUGAUCUGUCUGCUUAAUUGCGUUUCAAAAUUUAACUUGAGGACCGGGUUUUGGUUUGGCUAGUGGUUCUACGAUGACUGUGAACUGUCAUGUCUUCGGAUGUGCGACUAUUGGUCUAGGAUCACAUGACUUGCCCCUGGGACUCUUUUGAACGCAACGGACGUGAUUGCAACCCCUUGUUGAGAUUAGAGAUAGUCUCGAUAUUCACUGGACAAACUGGCUGCUUUAUGCAGUCUUGUUGAAUGGUGGAUAAACUCGGGGGACUGCUGACUAUAACCAUUUCUCAAAACAGAGGAAGGUUGCGGCAAUAACAGGUCUGUGAUGCCCUCAGAUGUCCCGGGCUGCACACGUGCUACAAUGAGUGGCGCAAUGUGCUAAUGUUUAAGGGAUAAGAGUGUGGUCAGUAGAACGUCGGGAUUUCCCCUGACGUCUCCCCCGCACGAUUAUCAGCCUUCCCUUAACAGGGCGGGCAACCUUUUCAAAAUACUGGUUUGAUGUUAAAGUAUUGAGUCGUUUUUUUUGGAUGGUGGUUUGUUAACCAAUACCAUCCGGCAACUGCUCGCGAGUUUGUGGUUCUGGCG